UUUCCCAUUGAUUUGCUGCUCUCGUCUCCCCAGUGGCAUGAGCAGUUAUACGCGUGGGAUAGAACAAUGCCGGACCGCUGUGGACGGGGGUGGGGUGGCCGUGCCACCUCUCUUGCACGUGUGGUCCGGACACGG